GAACGUGAGCUGGGUUUAGAC
rnacentral:ncRNA from 2 species